UACGUAGGUGGCAAGCGUUGUCCGGAUUUAUUGGGCGUAAAGGGAGCGCAGGUGGUUUCUUAAGUCUGAUGUGAAAGCCCACGGCUUAACCGUGGAGGGUCAUUGGAAACUGGGAAACUUGAGUACAGAAGAGGAAUGUGGAACUCCAUGUGUAGCGGUGGAAUGCGUAGAUAUAUGGAAGAACACCAGUGGCGAAGGCGACAUUCUGGACACAAACUGACGCUGAGGUACGAAAGCGUGGGGAGCAAACAGG
rnacentral:rRNA from 1 species